rnacentral:piRNA from 1 species
UAACUAACAGCUGUGCCUCCACUU